ACUUUUAAAGAAAUUGUGAAGUAAUGUCAUGUUAUGUUAAUAAAUUUCAUCAAGUAAUUAUAUUAUCAAGUAAUGCCAUGCAUUAUUUACCAUAUAGAAUUAAGUAAUAAUGUCAGUUCGAUGGAAUAAUAUUACUCAAUCGUUGCGUCAAAUUUGACAAUUUGUAAAUUUACUUGUCAUUGUAUUUGUAGAUAUACUGUCAGUCGGUUUGUGACUUAUUUGGUGUGAACAUUCUUAUCUCUGGUAUCAUUAGAGAAAUAUCUAAUAGUGAAUGAGAUUUAGAAGAUAUGCCUUGUACACCGCCAGACAUUUUAAAAUUAGCGGCUAGCGCUACAGAAAAUCUCCUACCUAACAAGUCAAAAGGUGAAUAUGAUAUGGUGUACAAAAGUUUUAUGGAUUGGCAACUGACACAAAAAACAUCUUUUUCUGUAAAUGUUAUCCUAGUGUAUUUUGUUAAACUUGCUAAAAAAUACAAGUCAUCAUCAUUGUGGGCAUAUGCUGAAAAGUACAUUGAAUAUUUACCAUAGUAUCCACCUAGAGACUUACAUGAAGUUACAGGCAUUUUUAAAAUGUCAGUCCGAGGGCCAUCAACCGAAAAAAUCUAAAACUUUUACGCCCGAAGAAGUCAGUAAAUUUAUUAAAGAAGCGCCAGAUCAUACCUUUCUAAUGACAAAGGUAACCUUAAUCAUGGGGCUAAUGGGAGCGUGCCGAUCGAAUGAAUAUAUUUUAUGAAAACUAAAGAUAUAGAAGAUUACAUUUACAAGAUUAUUUUACAUCGAAAAUGGCUGGAAAACACUUCAUUUCACGAACGUUUGAUAUGAAUUUGAUUGAACAGUUUGAGAUGGAAAAGAAGCAACGGAAGACCUUUUCAACCUCUUUCAUUUGUUCAGGAGAGAGUGGCAACUGCGCUGAAAAUAUCUGUUAAAAUGGUAUGUUCUGUUAAGAAAGGAAGGUAAAAAUUCCAACUUUCCCAACAACACUCAGUCGGAGACCUCAAUUAAAACUAAAAACAGAGGAUGUAUCCGAGGGAACCAAAAUGUUGGUGCAGAAUACCUUAUAAAACGUUCAAAUAUUAGAGUACAAUACAUCUAAUGUGGUUCUGCGUGUUGCUGAGAAACGGAAUAAGAACUACUUGGUCUCUUAUUUUGUUUUGAUAAAUUUAGACCUUACAUCAAAAGAACUAGAUUCACUGCUGUUACGGAAAACUCAGUAGGUGGGCUUUACGUAUUUGUCAGUAUACUUUUGAUCUUGUUCACAGAAAAGGUUCUAACAAUGUUGUUCCGGAUGCUCUUUCUCGCUGAAGAUAAUGAUAAACCUGAAUCAGUAGUUUCGGAGUCAAAUGAAUUUCUUUCUUAUGUCCAAGACGAUAGUGACCGGAUCGAUGCUUGGUUUACAAAAUUUCGAGACAAAAUUCUUGCUUCACCUAAUUCGUAUCCACGAUGGAAAGUUGAAAAUAAUAUGAUUUUCAAAUUCGUCCCCAAUAAUUCACUUUUGAAACCUGAUCUCCCAGAGUGGAAAAUUUUAGUGCCUCAAAGAAAAGAUGUUAUUAAAUCUUGUCACGAUCCGCCUACUAGCGGUCAUGUUGGUUUCUUUAAAACUCUCAGUAGCAUUCAAGAAUUUUAUUAUUGGCCGAAAAUGGGACAAAAUAUUCUAGAAAUGUUAAAAGUUGUAAUGUUUGUGCUUCAAAAAAAGUUCCAAAUCAGACAAGAAUGAGUCUUAUGGGCCAGAAAAAAAUUAUUGAUCGUCCUUUUCAGCAUAUAGCAAUCGAUUUAAUGGGUCCAUUUCCAUGUUCAAAAAAAGGUCAUAAAUGGCUUCUUGCUGUCAUUGAUUUUUAUUCUAAAUUCACUUUGUUAUUUCCUAUUCGUAAUGCUACAGCUCGAGUUGUCAGUGACAUCAUUGAAAAUAGAGUCCUUUUAGGUAAACAAUUUAUUUCCAAGGAACUUAAGUCUGUAAAAAUUACGAAGUUAAAAACAUCUGUUUAUUCACCACAGUGUUAUUUCACUCAUGGUACUGCCAUCCAUUGUUACGUUGAUUCACAUGAUACUUGGGAUAUAGAAAUUUCGAAAAUUCAGCAAGCGAUUCCACGAAUGAAACCACAGGUUAUCCUUCGUGUUUAAUUGUUUAUGGACGCCAUACACCACUUUCAGGAAAAUUUUAUAAUCAUUACCGUGCUGAUUUAGGUGAUAACUCUAAAGAUGCUCAAUUGCCAGAAUUUAUCCCUGGUGAUUUGAAAACUUAUGUCAAAGAUCUUAAUGACCUAAAAAAUAUGUUUUCGUAUGUUAAAAAGAAAUUACAAAAGGCUAAUAAGGUUCUUUCUGAUGCUGCUAAUAAGUUUACAGCAAAAAUAGCUGAAAAGUAUAUUUUGUCUAUUGUUAAAAAGAAAUAUUGGCGGAACUAAAGCAGGGAAGUGGCACAUAAAAUAUCUCAAGCCUUAUUAUGAUGGUGUUUCGGCCGAUGAGUCGAGUGAUUCAGAUGGUUCCUCUUCUGAAUAGUUUUUUAGUGUUGCUUGGAUCUUAGAUCGCGACAUCUAUCUUGUUCUUCUCUCGAUUUUGCCUUCUAGUUUGUGUAGUUAGUUGAUAGUUUAUAUUACGUAUAAUGUUUUCUUCACAUUAUAAGUAUACAUAAUAUACGAUACCUUCUUUAAUUUUUUUGUUCCUCUUUUGCUGUUUGAUUGGACCCUACUAAUUGUGACCUUAUCUCGAUUAUGACCUUUUCCCAAUUGUGACCCACCAUUGAUGAGUCCUAUUUUAUAGGCGAGUAAUACGCGUUAGGUAUCAAAAUUCAAACAGGCAAAAGCUUUGAAUUUGUCGCUUUGCGUUGAUCUUUAGAAAAAUAGUCUUGCAAGCAAUUCUAUUUUUUCCUCGGAGGGGGGCAUUGUAACGUUUUCACUGCAUACAGCUUGCGUUACUUUUGUUAUAAACAUUAUACGAUAUAAACCUACCUACUUCUUUUCGUUAAUAAUUUUCUUUAUAAGAUAUUUUGUCAUAUUAUCUUUGAGUAGAAAUAUUUACAUAUUAUAUUUUAUACCUCAUUCGUAGUUUUGUAUGUACUUGUUGGUGACAUACUGGGUUCCUGGAAUUUAAGUUAUUUAGCACAGUUUAAUUUGUCCUUUUGUUGAACUAUUUUUAUAUAAACAAAUUGAAUGUUUGGUUUAUUUUCUUUUGAGGUUAAGUCUUGGUCUACAGGACGCAAGCAUUAUUCGAAAUUUGCCAGGCGUGGUAUAACUGGUUGCGGAAUUAUGUUGCUUGUAAGAGCCAAGUUGCUUCCCCUUAGAAGGUUCGAGCAACAUCUAGUUAACUGGUCACAAGUUAAGUUAUUCGUGCAGUAUUUUGUAAAUUUUGCGGAUAUUCAUUUGCUAGCUGGUGUUUUUGAAAUUGAGCUAUUGUUGCACCUGGCUAGAUUGUCGUCAUGACGUGUGACCCGAUUUUGCUAAAGAAGUCUACUGCUAACUUCAUUCAUAUUUUCCUUUUGACUGUCAACGGUGUGGAAUUUUUCAUUAUGUAUUUGAUUAUAAAUUUAUAAUCGAAUUUUCGACUGAGAAUUUGACAAUUGGAGAUGUAGUUACCUUGUUCUUUUGGUCAGCGAUCGUGCUAGCGUGAAGAUCAAUUUCUCCAGAGAUUUUUGAAAAGCGGGAUUUAGCCGGCCUAAAGGAGCCUUCCGCCGAUUCCAAAAAUUCAGAAGUAUGCAAUGUCUCUUUUCAACAUCGGAUUUUUUUUUGCUUUUUAUUGCAAAUUAUUUAAAUGUAUUGCAGUAACCGGACAAGAAGUCUCAAAACUAGAUGAAUUUUCUGCAGAAUUUUCACAAGGUACUUCCUUUGGUAUCAAUAUUCUUGUUUACUUCAUCUGCCUCAGGAAUACUUAUAUUUUGAACAGAAUAUGGUCAACCAUCAUUGGUUAGCCCAAAGAUACAUUACAAUUUGGUCCUUCGAGCCGUAUUUUAAGUAAAGUCAUUUUUGGUCAAGUUCAAUAUUCAGUGCUGUGUGACCGAUGAUAGACUUCAAACGGCCGGUGUCGGGAAUGAACAUAACUACUAUUGGUAAGUGCUAUGUUUCAAUGUAUCAUGUAUUUGAGAAGUAAUGUCUGAAAUGCUAGAACUGAAGGCUUUUGUUCCAAAGAAAGGGUUAAUAAAGGGAAAAUUGACAAGGUUUCGAAAUUAUUUUCAAAGUUUUGUUAAUAAAAUGCAGAUAAAAAUAAGUUUCUGAAUUACAAAGAAUAGAAAAAGUUUUAUCUUUAUAUGAUGAUUUUAUUGAGGUACAGGGGCAGAUUGAAUUAACAAACAGUAAUAUUAAAUAUAAAUAUGAAUGACAUUCUUUUGAACAUUAUUAUUUUGAGCUAGCUCUAUGCGAUGAAUUAAUCUCAGAACGAUCACAGAAUCUAGGCGGUCCCUCUGGCAAUUAUGUUUAUUCUAAUGCAAAUAUUGCAAGUCUAGGUUCUGGCAACAAUUUACAGUCAUUGGUCAAGAUACCAACAUUUAUCGGACACUACGAAUCAUGGUUUGAAUUUAUUUGAAACAGUAGUUUGACUCUAGUUCAAAAGAACGCAGCUUUAUCUGAUAUUCAAAUAUUUUAUUAUUUGAGAUCCUCUCUAGAAAAUAAGCCCAACAAGUAAUAAAAUCUAUAGAGGUUUCUUCAAGCCACCAUACAAUUGCUCGGCAGAUGUUGGAAGAGAAUCAAAAUAAAAAUUUAAUAAUUCCACCGAUUACCAAAGAAUCACACACAGAAAUAAUAAAUUUAUUUGAUAAAGUAACAAAACAUUUGCUUUUGUUAAAGUUCUUUAGAAACUGACAAUUCGGAUAGCAUAAUAAUUUAUAUAAUGAGCUCGAAAUUUGAUGGCGUGACGAGUAGAAACGGAAUGCUUUAAAUAUGAUCCAGAUUUAUACAAAUAACAAGAUAUGAAUAUGUUAUUAAAAGAGAAAUGUAAUAUGUUAGAAAAAUUAGAAAGUUUAUGUGCUAAUAUGGUUACUAAAGGGAAGUCAAAAUCGGUGUCUUGCUUCUAUUGAUGAGAGUAGGGAUCCUCUAGCGGUUUGGGGUGUUGCAUACGAUUCAACAUCUAUAUAGUCGUUUACGAACAUUUUUGGAGUGCAGUUCAGUUUUACAAUUUUAAAGUAUCGUAAGGUAUAUAUCUACGUGUACUUCAGACUUUUUUUAUACUCAGUUUUACAGUUACAUUUUUAAAAAACAAUUUGUGCAAUUUGCAAAAAACUGGUGAUGAAAUUUUACUGUUUGAUACAGUAGAAAACUUGAAUAGAUGUAGGAGAAUGUUAAUCGCUCGUAAGAAACAUCAAAUGCGAUUUUGUGAUGUGAUUUUACCUAAUGAUAUUAGAUACUACAAUGUUACGUAAACUUUACUGCCGUAGGCAAAAAUAUUGAGAUGAAGAAAGUGUUGUGACUGCUAACCAGAAAACUGUCUGGUAUCACCUCAGCCAUUGAUUCCACAUACAUCCACGGAAACAGAACAAUUGGAACAAGGUGCUAUGUAUAAUGGAUGAUACGAGUAUGAAAAUAAUGACCUUGAAAUUAUCGAACCAGGAUUAGAUGCUGAAUAAUUAUUAGUAUUAAGAAAGAAUUAUAUCGCUUGCAUUUGGAGAAAUGGACAUCUGGCUUUGCCUACAAUAUUGAGACCAGGAGACAACAGAUGGGUGUUGAAUGAUGGUCAGUACGAGUAUCACUGGUGUGAGGGACAUCAGCUACCACCUACAGUAAGUGAUGCUAUCGCUAACUACAACAUUGAUAUCGAAGUAGAGUAGAUGGUGCCAAUAUGGAUGGAAAGUGUAUUUACUAUUUUUUGUAUAAAUAGCAUACAUAUGUAUGCUUAUUUCUUAGACCUUUUGAUAGGUUUAUGUCUCUAACUCUUUGCCAGUCAUAUUAUGAGUACUUUUUUGGGAAAGUGGCAAGGAAAUUUGAAUAUUGCAUUUUGAAUUCUAUGAGUUUAAAGAUUUCUGAAAGCAUGAAUAAAUAUCAGAAGUUACCGGAAAUCUUAAUUAAUUAUUUCCCAGGCGAUGAAUAUUAAGUGAUGAUGAAUAAUAAGUAUUCGAAAGCUCGGAAAAUAUAUUCCAUUGUUUUUCCGAUAUGUAGAUGAUUGAAUUAAUGCUGUACUAAAGAAUAAAAUUGAAAACAUAAAAAAAUUCAAUUCUUAUCAAAAAAAACUUCAAUUCCCAAUCGAGGUUGAGCAAAAUAAUAGAAUCAAUUUUUUUGAUGUCACAUUAUAUAAAAUUAACAAUAACAUUAGAACAGAAUGUUAUACGAAACCAACUUGGUUCUCAAGAUAUUUAAACUUCGAUUCGUGUCUUUCUAUGUCACAAAAAAGAUCAGUGAAAAUAAGUUUGGCUGAUAGAUCUAUUCAACUAUCAGAUCCUGAGUUUUAGGUGCUUAGCUAUUCAAAAAGCAAAAACUGCAUUGAAAGAAAAUAAUUAUCCGAAAAAAAUGAUAAACAACAUAUUCAAGAAAAGGAUAAACAGAUACUACAAUCAAUUUAAAAACAAAACAGAAACGAAACAUCAAAACAUAAAACAUUUUUCCUUACCAUAUGCACAAGGCCUUUCCCAACAAUUAUCGAAUUAUUUCAAUAAAUAUGAUAUUAGUACAAGUCAUAAAGGACAUAAUACAUUAUCCAAAUAUUUCAUUAAAUUAAAUUAAAUCUAAAACACUAAAAAAAAAAAA